UACAGAGGUGGCAAGCGUUGUUCGGAAUUACUGGGCGUAAAGGGCGCGUAGGCGGUCCGAUAAGUCCCGUGUGAAAUCCCUCGGCCCAACUGAGGAAUGGCACGGGAAACUGCCGGGCUUGAGUUCGGGAGAGGGAAGCGGAAUUCCGGGUGUAGCGGUGAAAUGCGUAGAUAUCCGGAGGAACACCGGUGGCGAAGGCGGCUUCCUGGACCGACACUGACGCUGAGGCGCGAAAGCUAGGGGAGCAAACGGG
rnacentral:rRNA from 1 species